CAAAUCAUAGCUAUAUUAGUUUGGCAUAUUAUUUACAUUAAUACUUUAAUUGUGCAAUUCAGUUUGGUUUGA
rnacentral:tRNA from 2 species